rnacentral:lncRNA from 1 species
UUUAAUAUCAAUAUGUCUAUUACUGAUUUGAGUUUGUCCCCCCCCGAGCACUAUUGUCAAAUCGAGACAAAUUACGAAAAAUAAAAAAAGAUAAUGCUUGAUCCAUUAGUUUCUGUUUUCCCUUUGUCUUUAUAAGAAGGCAUGCAUAUUCAUUCACUCAAUACUUGAUCCAAUACUCUCUCUACUUCGGAGAGUUGUCGGAGUUUAAUUUUCACGAUGGGUAGAAAACAUCCUUUAGCUAAUUUCUUGAUUCUCCUCUUGAACUUGGGUACGUUACUAUCUUCUUUAGCAUGUCCAUAUUGCCCUUAUCCUACUCCUCCCCCUCCGUGUCCCCCAACAUUUCCACCAAAACACCCUCCGCAUGUAAAGCCACCUUUCCACCCCAAACCACCGCAUCACAAGCCACCCCAUGUCAAACCACCGCACAAGCCCCCGUAUGUUCCUAAACCACCUUACACACCAAGGCCUAAACCGCCUUACACGCCAAAACCACCUUAUACGCCAACCCCUAAGCCACCAUAUUUCCCCAAACCACCUUACACACCAAGGCCUAAGCCACCGUAUGCGCCAAAACCACCUUAUACGCCAACCCCUAAGCCACCCUAUUUCCCCAAACCACCUUACACACCAAGUCCCAAAACCACCUUACACCCCAACUCCUAAGCCACCGUAUGUCCCUAAACCACCGUAUGUACCAUCACCACCUUAUACCCCUCGCCCUAGACCACCGUAUGUACCAUCGCCACCUUAUACCCCUAGUCCUAAACCACCGUAUGUGCCAUCACCACCUUAUACCCCCAGCCCUACCCCACCAUAUGUACCAUCACCACCGUAUACCCCAAGCCCUACCCCGCCAUAUGUACCAUCACCACCGUAUACCCCAAGCCCUAGCCCACCACCACCACCAAGUGGAACACCGUGUCCUCCGCCGCCGCCACCAACUUGUCCCAUUGAUACUCUCAAGCUUGGUGCAUGCGUCGACGUGUUGGGUGGUCUAGUACACAUCGGUAUAGGCAGCAGUGCAAAGGACGCUUGCUGCCCCGUGCUGCAGGGGCUACUGGACUUGGAUGCUGCAUUAUGUCUUUGCACCACCAUUAAACUUAAGCUUUUGAAUAUCAAUCUUAUUAUACCGAUCGCCCUUGAAGUGCUUAUUGACUGCGGCAAGCAUCCGCCGCCCGGAUUCCAGUGUCCUGCCUAAUUGGUGACGCUUUCCAGCCAUGCAAUUGAUGAAUGCGACUUGUUUGUUUUGGAGAUUUUGUCAAAGAUAAUGACAUGUAAGUGCAUAAAGUGGAAGUACUUCAUGAUAUCGAAGUUUGUCUUAAUAUAUGUUUUGUUCCUCUUGUGCAUAUCAAACCAAUUAUCUUUGGAGCAAAAUCUAUGUUUUGAUGGAUCCAUACUAUCUGCAAGUUUGGGAUUAUGGGGUGUCAAAUAAUCACUUAUUUGACCCAAAUUUUAUUUGAGUUGUCCAAUUAGUAGUAACCAUCAAAUAAUUUAUUAUCACACAUAAUUUUGAGAGUAAAUUCUCAAUUGACCAUUAAAAAAAAAAUCACAAC